GUGUUGGUGGUUCAGUGGUAGAAGUCUUGCCUUACAUGCAGGAGAUCCAGUUUGAAUUCCGGACCAAUGCA
rnacentral:tRNA from 1 species